rnacentral:rRNA from 1 species
UACGGAGGGUGCGAGCGUUGUCCGGAAUCACUGGGCGUAAAGGGCGCGUAGGUGGCGCAGGAAGUCAACGGUGAAAUCCCCGGGCUCAACCUGGGAAUGGCAAUGGAUACUGGCGGGCUAGAGUGUGUCAGAGGAUGGUGGAAUUCCCGGUGUAGCGGUGAAAUGCGUAGAGAUCGGGAGGAACAUCAGUGGCGAAGGCGGCCAUCUGGGACAACACUGACGCUGAAGCACGAAAGCGUGGGGAGCAAACAGG